UACGGAGGGUGCAAGCGUUAAUCGGAAUUACUGGGCGUAAAGCGUGCGCAGGCGGUUUGUUAAGUCCGUUGUGAAAGCCCCGAGCUCAACUUGGGAAUUGCAGUGGAUACUGGCAGGCUGGAGUACGAUAGAGGAAGGUGGAAUUCCCGGUGUAGCAGUGAAAUGCGUAGAUAUCGGGAGGAACACCAGUGGCGAAGGCGGCCUUCUGGACCAGUACUGACGCUCAUGCACGAAAGCGUGGGGAGCAAACAGG
rnacentral:rRNA from 1 species